UCGUCCUACGGGAGGCAGCAGUGAGGAAUAUUGGUCAAUGGGCGGAAGCCUGAACCAGCCAAGUCGCGUGAGGGAAUAAGGCCCUACGGGUCGUAAACCUCUUUUGCCGGGGAGCAAGGGCGGGGACGUGUCCCGGCCCGGAGAGUACCCGGAGAAAAAGCAUCGGCUAACUCCGUGCCAGCAGCCGCGGUAAUACGGAGGAUGCGAGCGUUAAUCGGAAUUACUGGGCGUAAAGCGCGCGUAGGCUGUUGUGUAAGUUGGGGGUGAAAUCCCACGGCUCAACCGUGGAACAGCCCUUGAUACUG
rnacentral:rRNA from 1 species